AUGGAGCCAGAGAAGGAUGAUGACACCAAGGUGACGCUCUCUGGCCUGCUCAACUUCAUCGACGGCCUAUGGUCAGCAUGUGGCGGCGAGCGGAUUAUUAUCUUCACAACCAAUCACAAGGAGAAGCUGGACCCUGCACUGAUCCGGCGGGGCAGGAUGGACAAACACAUCGAGAUGUCCUACUGUCGCUUCGAGGGCUUCAAGGUGCUCGCCAAGAACUACCUGGACGUCGUCGAGCAUGAGCUGUUUGGCGAGAUCUGGCAGCUGCUUGAGGAGACCGACAUGUCGCCAGCAGACGUGGCGGAGAAUCUGAUGCCCAUGUCGAAGAAGAAAAAGAGGGACCCUGACGUGUGCUUGGCAGGACUCAUCAAGGCGCUCAAGAAGGCCAAGGAGGACGCAGUAGCGGCAAAGGCGAAAGAGGAAGAGGAAGCCAAGGAGAUAAAGGAGAGAGAGGCGAAGAAAGACGAAGGAAAGGACAAAACAUCGGGGGAAGCCAAUGGAGACAUCAAGCAAGGUGAUAAGUAG
rnacentral:rRNA from 1 species